rnacentral:rRNA from 1 species
UACGUAGGGGGCGAGCGUUGUCCGGAAUCAUUGGGCGUAAAGCGCGUGUAGGCGGCUCGGUAAGUCUGCUGUGAAAGUCCAGGGCUCAACCCUGGGGAUGCCGGUGGAUACUGCCGGGCUAGAGUCCGGAAGAGGCGAGUGGAAUUCCUGGUGUAGCGGUGAAAUGCGUAGAUAUCUGGAGGAAUACCGGUGGCGAAGGCGGCAUCCUGGACCGAGAUUGACGCUGAACGGCGAAAGCUAGGGGAGCAAACAGG